rnacentral:rRNA from 1 species
CCUACGGGUGGCUGCAGUGGGGAAUAUUGCACAAUGGGCGCAAGCCUGAUGCAGCCAUGCCGCGUGUGUGAAGAAGGCCUUCGGGUUGUAAAGCACUUUCAGCGGGGAGGAAGGCGGUGAGGUUAAUAACCUCAUCGAUUGACGUUACCCGCAGAAGAAGCACCGGCUAACUCCGUGCCAGCAGCCGCGGUAAUACGGAGGGUGCAAGCGUUAAUCGGAAUUACUGGGCGUAAAGCGCACGCAGGCGGUCUGUCAAGUCGGAUGUGAAAUCCCCGGGCUCAACCUGGGAACUGCAUUCGAAACUGGCAGGCUAGAGUCUUGUAGAGGGGGGUAGAAUUCCAGGUGUAGCGGUGAAAUGCGUAGAGAUCUGGAGGAAUACCGGUGGCGAAGGCGGCCCCCUGGACAAAGACUGACUCUCAGGUGCGAAAGCGUGGGGAGCAAACAGGAUUAGAUACCCCGGUAGUC